rnacentral:rRNA from 1 species
GACGAACGCUGGCGGCGUGCUUAACACAUGCAAGUCGAACGGAAAGGCCCUGCUUUUGUGGGGUGCUCGAGUGGCGAACGGGUGAGUAACACGUGAGUAACCUGCCCUUGACUUUGGGAUAACUUCAGGAAACUGGGGCUAAUACCGGAUAGGAGCUCCUGCUGCAUGGUGGGGGUUGGAAAGUUUCGGCGGUUGGGGAUGGACUCGCGGCUUAUCAGCUUGUUGGUGGGGUAGUGGCUUACCAAGGCUUUGACGGGUAGCCGGCCUGAGAGGGUGACCGGCCACAUUGGGACUGAGAUACGGCCCAGACUCCUACGGGAGGCAGCAGUGGGGAAUAUUGCACAACGGGCGGAAGCCUGAUGCAGCAACGCCGCGUGCGGGAUGACGGCCUUCGGGUUGUAAACCGCUUUCGCCUGUGACGAAGCGUGAGUGACGGUAAUGGGUAAAGAAGCACCGGCUAACUACGU